rnacentral:lncRNA from 1 species
UUUUCUUUUUCCUUUUUUAUGCAUUAUUUUUUUUGAAAAUAAACAUGCUAUGAUGCAAAUGAUGCAUAUGACUGGUUGACUGUGUAUCACGCGGCACGGGAUCAAAGCUUCGGCUUGAACUCGGAACCACAAAUUCAUCUGAAACCCAAAGUCAUCUGAGACCCCAAAAUUCUGAACCAAUAGUCACCAACAGGACCACAAG